GACGAACCGAGCGAACGUUGUUCGGAAUCACUGGGCUUAAAGGGCGCGUAGGCGGGCAUUCAAGUCUGUGGUGAAAUCCUCCAGCUCAAUUGGAGAACUGCCGUGGAUACUGGGUGUCUCGAGGGAGGUAGGGGCGUGCGGAACUAAUGGUGGAGCGGUGAAAUGCGUUGAUAUCAUUAGGAACUCCGGUGGCGAAGGCGGCACGCUGGACCUCUUCUGACGCUGAGGCGCGAAAGCCAGGGGAGCAAACGGG
rnacentral:rRNA from 1 species